GGCUCCUUGUAAAGAAAAAAUAAGGAGUCAAACCUGCUCAAUGAUUUCAAUAAUUAAAUAGCCGCGGUACCCUGACCGUGCAAAGGUAGCAUAAUCACUUGCCUCUUAAUUGGUGGCUGGCAUGAAGGGUUUAAUGAGAAUAAUACUGUCUCUUCUUUAAUCUAUUGAAACUACCCACUAGGUGAAAAGGCCUAGAUACCUAUACAAGACAAUAAGACCCUAUCGAGCUUUAGGUUAAAAUCUAUUAUAAAACAAAACCAAAAAGAAAGAUACCUUUAGUUGGGGCGACUAAGGAACAAACAAAACUUCCUAAAACAAAAACACCAACAAGUCACGACCCGGAAAAUAUCCGAUAAAAGAAAAAAGCUACCGUAGGGAUAACAGCGUAAUUUUCUUUGUGAGCUCUUAUUAAAAAGAAAGUUUGCGACCUCGAUGUUGGAUUAAGGUAUCCUAAAGACGCAGCAGUCUUUAACGGUUGGUUUGUUCAACCAUUAAAACCUUACAU
rnacentral:rRNA from 1 species